AUCCAGCUGAAGAGUCCCAAAUAGGGAAGAGACGCUCGUCAAACUGGAU
rnacentral:hammerhead_ribozyme from 1 species